AAAGAAAGGAUAAAUUAAAGUCGAGAUGGACCUGAGGAAGACCACAUGAGGGCUGAUGGGGAAGAGGCAUUUGAAGGCUUUACAGGAGGCAUAGUACUGGAAAUCUGCUCCUGAUGAGGUCUCAGAAAGCUUCCACUCGUGGUGGAAGGCAAAGGAGGAGCAGGCACAUCACAUGAGCCUUGAAACCAGCGAAACAAUAAUCAAAGAGCAGUUCUGUCAAAGAAAACAACAUAAAUCAGGUACAGAAUUUCAGAGUGGGAUAUCAGAUCUUUAGUGUGAAGAUACAUCUACAUUAAACCAGGAAUCACUAGAACUGACAUUUGGACAAGAAAAUUUGGAAAAUUUUAAAACUGUGAAGGUUGAUCAUGGAAAUUAAAGAGGAAGGGGCAUCAGAAGAAGGGCAGCACUUUCUUCCUACAGCCCAGGCCAAUGAUCCCGGGGACUGUCAGUUCACAAGUAUCCAGAAGACUCCAAAUGAACCGCAGUUGGAAUUCAUCCUUGCUGCAGCUAUCUGAAUAAUGGGAUCAGGCCUGGUGAUUGGAUGCUGCUGAACAUCUA
rnacentral:lncRNA from 1 species